GACGAACGCUGGCGGCGUGCUUAACACAUGCAAGUCGAACGGAAAGGCCCUGCUUUUGUGGGGUGCUCGAGUGGCGAACGGGUGAGUAACACGUGAGUAACCUGCCCUUGACUUUGGGAUAACUUCAGGAAACUGGGGCUAAUACCGGAUAGGAGCUCCUGCUGCAUGGUGGGGGUUGGAAAGUUUCGGCGGUUGGGGAUGGACUCGCGGCUUAUCAGCUUGUUGGUGGGGUAGUGGCUUACCAAGGCUUUGACGGGUAGCCGGCCUGAGAGGGUGACCGGCCACAGUGGGACUGAGAUACGGCCCAGACUCCUACGGGAGGCAGCAGUGGGGAAUAGUGCACAAUGGGCGGAAGCCUGAUGCAGCAACGCCGCGUGCGGGAUGACGGCCUUCGGGUUGUAACCCGCUUUCGCCUGUGACGAAGCGUGAGUGACGGUAAUGGGUAAAGAAGCACCGGCUAACUACGUG
rnacentral:rRNA from 1 species